GGUUCCCUCUCUGUACCUUCUCUAGCUCACUGCGCAGUUGGAGGUGCAACCUACAUAUAAUAAUUACAGGGCUGACAGCACCCAGUGUAAUACGUGGUUUUUUUUCAGGGCUGGCGCUAUGAGUAGGUAGUGUAAUCAAGACAAAGAUAUAAUAGUUGUUGAGUUCUUCUGAUGUACCAAGCACUGUGCUAAAUACUUUAUAUACAUUAAUUAUCUCAUUUAAUCCUCAGAACAACUCUAGCAAGCAAAUAAUGCUAUAAUGCCCAUGGUGGGGAUGAUGAAUCAGAAGCAGAGAGAGCUCCAGCAGUAUUACUGUGACUUCAGGGGGUGGAGAAAACUUCUUCGCUCCCCAUAACACUUCUGGGUAGCUCCUACCUGACUUCCCAUUAUUAAUAACCAUUGGUUUUAUCAAAAUGCAAAUCUCCCUGGAAGAGUUUCACAGGUCAACACCUCUGGUUACUAUCCAGACACGGAAGUGGAAAUCACGCUGGAGACGGAUGCAGGGGAUUAGGUCUAGUGUGGCCUGACCUCGAGACAUAUUCUGGUGACCCAGCCCUGGAAGAUACAGGCUCUUUGGUGGGGCUAAUGGUGGACUCUGUGAGGGCUCAUGCCAAGGAGUACUUCCCAGACCUUCUGCUGCCAGUGUCCUUGUCCCUGCAGUGAGCCACAGCCACCCCCUCGCCUCUGCAGGAGACCCUCCAACACAAGCAGGAAUGCAGACAUGACAGAUGGAGCUGGAGCAGCCAUCUUGAAUCAUGAUACGUCAUUGGCCCUUGUAUGGAAGCUGUGUGUUGAGAAAUGUAGAACUACAUGGUGAAAGAACUCUGGAUGCCAGUGAUCAUGGAGCCUUCACUAACUCUGGACUUCCUAUGUUUACAUUCAAAAGAAAUAAAUACCUACCUUGUU